AUUACUUAGCUCUCUAAUUCUCAUCUCAACUCCACCCAAAUAUCCAUUCAUUCAACCCAUUUUGCAUCAAAAUGAUGGGGGUUUUCAAGGAUAAGAGAGCCUUGAGAGGAUUCAGGACCCUCUUCUUCUUGAUAACCAUGAUUAUAUCGUUUCUAUUCUUCUCUGUUCCCAUUCUUUUAGCCGUCUCCGAUCUUCUCCUUCCGACUGCUCUGUUAUCGGCGUCCCUUUCAUCGUCGUUAGACGGUCCAGCUUUCUCCUUCCUCCAGACGCUCUCUUCUCAUUUCACCAAUUAUGAUUACAGAUACUCGCUUAUUGAUAUCCCUAUCAUCUCAAUAAUCAGAUCCGCCAUCAUCCUCUGUGUAUAUGGAUUCUGCGACGGGCCGGGGCUAUCUACGGGUCCGUACUUGGGAAUAACGACGGUUUGUUCCGUAGCGUCGUUGUUGUUUGUGUCUAUUAAGGCGUCGUAUGUGUUCGGCGGCGGGAGUGUUGGUGUUGGAGCGACGGAGGUGGCGUUGUUUGUGUGCUCGCUGGCGUUGGCGAUCGGUCACAUCGUGGUCGCAUAUCGAACUAGUUGCAGAGAACGACGGAAGCUUCUGGUUUACAAAAUUGAUAUCGAAGCUGUGUCGACAUUCAAGAACGGGUUCAAACGGUACUCCAAGAUUCUUCACGACGCAAGAGUCAAAGUGAAACUACAAAACUAAAGAGAAAAAAAGGACACAACAGUUCUCAUCUUAUUCUUACCAAAUGGGAUGGAGUUAAAACACUAUUUCAGUGGUGACCCCAAGCUCCCCACAUCCAAGUUGCAGGUCAUCCGAAGGAGAACGGUAACGAGGAAUGUAUGUAAACUAUGGAGUUAUGAAGAAUUAUUUUUGGGGGUACAAGUGUGGGGUUUGAUGAGUGUCUCACAAUUUUUGUGUGUGUGUGUGUAUGUUGAUGGUGUUAACAAGCUUGUUUUAGAAAUGCAAAAAGAAAGAAGGCAGAAUUAGGUGAGUAGAUAGAAAAGAAAAGGAAAAUAGAAUAAUGGUAUGGUACAAGUUUUUAUGCAGGAGUUACAAACAUGGUGAUGGAAGUGGGUCAGAAAAGGCAUGAGGCCUUGUCGCGAGAGGGAGAGGGAAUCAUGGGGGGCCUACUCUUUUUGCUUCUUGGCGCUUCCUGUUUUUCUUUUUAUUUAUGGUAGUUACCGUCCCCAAAGCU